rnacentral:ncRNA from 1 species
CUUAGCUUUUUUACUAGCCACUGCUGCUGUUAAUACUGCAGUAUCAUUAUAACGAAUCAAAACGGCUCCAUUAGCUUGUUUUGCUAAUUGUCCAACUUCAACUGUUAAUGUACGUCCUGCCCAUUCUUUAGUGAAAACUUGCUUCUCUGUCAUUGUGUGCAUUUCUCCUUUUUCUUAAAGCU